GUGGGUAUAGCUCAAGUGGUAGAGUACGUGCUUUGGGAGCAUGUUGUUGCAGGUUCAAAUCCUGUUACCCGCA
rnacentral:tRNA from 1 species